rnacentral:tRNA from 1 species
UAGAUUGAAGCCAGUUANCUAGGGUAUUUAGCUGUUAACUAAAAUUUCGUGAGG